CUUCCAACCAUUUAAUUUAGAUGAAAAAUUCAUUACAACACCUAGACAAUUUUAUUUUACCAGGUAAGUUGACUCAACACAUUCUCAUGGACAGCAACAACCUGGGGAAUAGUUACAGGAGAGAGGAAGGGGGAUUAAUGAGCCAAUUGGAAAACAAGGAGUCCACAAAGCACAAAGGGCUAUGCAUUUCAACACAAAGCAGUGGCAGGUCAGACAGGCCCUCAAACAAGGAUGAUGGAAGAUUACAUAUCUGAACAUAAUGUCAUAAAGCUGAAAUACCACAGAAAAAAAAAAAGUACAAGCAAUCUUUCCCCUCUCUGCCUGUGAGUUAAUGACAGCCAUUAAAAAAAUCCAUUACUACUAUAAAUGUUAUCGGGUCACUGCUACACUGUCUAUCUGCAGCCGCUGGCCCUGCAUCCUAUAAUAUGAAGGGCGGGACAACCAGGGGCCUGUGGCUUUAAAAUGACUACUGUGGAUUGACUGGGAGGAAGGUAGUCUCUAGACAGAUGGGUUGCUUGCAGCAAUGUACCGAUGCUCCAGUUUUAACAUGUAUGUGUCAGUUGGGACAGGGAGGACGAGUCACAGGUAACGUCAUUGCCGCACCCGCUUCAUGCACCACAGUCAAAUGAAGAGUGGAGCGCUGGGGGGGGUGAGACCCAGGGAGAGUGGGACCCUAAGGUCUAAGGUGAUGGGGGUAGAAGGCAAGAUGGGUUGAAGUAGAGGUGGCAGAUGUAAGACCACCAAGGGUCUCCUCUUACCUCCAGAGGGCCUGUAUGAAAACAUUAGUUUUGUUUAUGGAUGUGCUCGCUUUGUCCUUCACACAGCCUCCAAGGCUGAUAGAGUGAGAGUUACAUGAUCCACCUUGGGCAGAAAUAGGAAAUGUGUCUGUGCACACCAGCUGUUGCUGAGGUCUCUCAGGCUGUAAGAGGCCCUCUGCCUUCCCUGGCACAGCCAAAUAAAGAGCCAAAGAAUGAAGUGUGUGUGUGCACUAGCCUCUCAGAGCCUAUAUUCCAGUUUCCUUCACCUUUCAAGGUAGCUGGAGGACAUGGUGGGGGUGGAUUUCAUUUAGCAUCAGGUCUAAUGGGACGAGGGCGUUCGCUCACUGAAAGAACAUUUUCUCAGCACUGUAUAGCGGCAGUUAUUGUAGAGUCAACAUUUGUCAGCGGUGAGGGUUCGGCAUAAACCUGUCUGAUGUCUAAGGCGUUUUACUUUGACACAUUCCCCCCAAUGACUGACAGGCAGCCUCCGAGACAUCCCUCUGCCUCACAAAUGACAGCUUAGAUUCUAUAUUCAUCACCCAGCCGUCUCCGAAGAGGAAACAUGUACACCACUGCGUGAGAGAAGGCAGAGCUGCUAUUCCAUUUGCCGUCGGUCUGUUGAGAGUUGAGUUGAGGGGCUCCCUAAGCAGAAACCUACAAGGGGGACGUCAGAGGGGAAACCAUGAGUGCAACCCUGCUGUCUGUUACACAGUAAUGCAAUAUCACCA
ensembl:lncRNA